AACCUACGGGAGGCAGCAGUGAGGAAUAUUGGUCAAUGGGCGCGAGCCUGAACCAGCCAAGUCGCGUGAGGGAAGACGGUCCUAUGGAUUGUAAACCUCUUUUGUCGGGGAGCAAAAGCCGGACGUGUCCGGCUGUGAGAGUACCCGAAGAAAAAGCAUCGGCUAACUCCGUGCCAGCAGCCGCGGUAAUACGGAGGAUGCGAGCGUUAUCCGGAUUUAUUGGGUUUAAAGGGUGCGUAGGCGGGACGGUAAGUCAGCGGUAAAAAUGCGGAGCUCAACUCCGUCGAGCCGUUGAAACUGCCGUU
rnacentral:rRNA from 1 species